UGCACCCCUGGGAAUUGGGACCAGCACAUGUUAGCAGCCGUCUGUCCCCGUGGGACACGUUUGCUUGUUCCUGCAGUGCUGCAAGCCUGGGACUUGUGUCCCCGCUUGUUCUGAUUAUUGUUUCCUUAAAGGGUGGCACCUCUGUGCUACUGGAUGAUGAAAAUGAACCUAACCAGUUGGUGCCACAGGCACUGAAGGGAAUGAGGUCUCCUGCAUUUUGGCCUACAUUUUAUUCAGUGGAACAUAAAGUUCAUUAUUUACAAGCUUCGCAGGUGCUGGUGCCCACACUGGCAAGCCACAGCCAGGUGCAGCCGCAGGUUGGGAACAGGUGGAUCUGGAUGCAAGAAGGGAAGCCAAGGGGGUCAGGCAGGCACCACAGGAGGAACUUCUCAGCUUGGCAGCCAGAAAAGCUGGAAAAGAACAGCACAGUGUGUUGUCUCCUACAUGCUGUUCUGUUCUAACAACAUCCAUCAAGACAAAUGCAUACCUGAGCACAGCCUCCCUCAAACCUCAGAAAUCUUUUUCUGAGGUCACAAACUACAAAAAAGACAAAGAAGAAACAAGAAGGAAAUUGUGCAAACAAUUAAGCAUUUUUUUCAAGAGACAUAGAGGAUUCCCCUUGUCUGCACAAGGCAAGCACCAAAAUAAGAAUGCCACAUCUCAAACACAAGGCAAUCUAUUAUUCUCAGAGCAGUAACAUGAUACAUUAUCAGCCACCUUAUCCUAGCAAAAUGUAUCAUUACCUGCACUUUCUGCACUUUCCAGAUCAAUCCACUUUAAAAAUGUAGUAAUAUAGAAGGGUAUUAGGUACUAGAAAACUCAUUAUGAAAAUGGCGCACUCAAAUUCUUUAAAGGUGAUAUUUCAUAAAAUAUACUAUGCCUAGCUCUUGGCUCAAUCAUUCUUUUUAAUAGCUCCAUAGCAGCCAGAAAAUAAAGUAUUCAUGAAGAUUGAAGAAGAUGAUCCCAUGAA